GCAGAACUUAUCCAUGCUAUUGUUCUCUUAUUUGGGCGACUUGGCAUUACAUCCAAGGACGUAGGGAUAAGAGUCUCAAGCCGAAAGGUUCUGCAGUCCGUGCUACAAAUGUAUUCUGUACCAGAACAUUUGUUCACAGAAGUUUGUGUCAUUGUAGACAAAAUGGGUAAAAUCACUAGAGAAGAUAUUGUAAACGAAUUAACGUCGGCGGGCUUAUCAUCA
rnacentral:misc_RNA from 1 species